GGUUAAGCGACUAAGCGUACACGGUGGAUGCCUAGGCAGUCAGAGGCGAUGAAGGGCGUGCUAAUCUGCGAAAAGCGUCGGUAAGGUGAUAUGAACCGUUAUAACCGACGAUACCCGAAUGGGGAAACCCAGUGCAAUUCGUUGCACUAUUGCAUGGUGAAUACAUAGCCAUGCAAGGCGAACCGGGGGAACUGAAACAUCUAAGUACCCCGAGGAAAAGAAAUCAACCGAGAUUCCCCCAGUAGCGGCGAGCGAACGGGGAGGAGCCCAGAACCUGAAUCAGCGUAUGUGUUAGUGGAAGCGUCUGGAAAGUCGCACGGUACAGGGU
rnacentral:rRNA from 1 species